AUGAGUACAUCUCAACUUUUACUGUAUUUCUUGUUGACAACUAGUGCAGAGCAAGCAAGCAAGGCACUGGAGAUGAACAAAUUACAGAACCCUGUACUUGUUCUCACCAGCAGCAGCACGAGUAGGGGACCUCAAGCGGCAGCACACGAGAAGGGGAUCUCCGGGCGGCAGCACGAGCAGGGGAGGAGUAGCAAGUUGCGGAGAAGCAGCAGAAGGGGCUCCAGCUUGAGGUCCAGGAUCACAAAAGAGCUUGAGGAUGAGCUUGAGGGAGCUCGUGGUCCAGGCGCGGCGGGAGCUUGUGGUCCAGGCGCUCGAGACCCAGGCGCGCGCGGGUCCUGGCCUUCAGCGGCGCAGGCCCUGCGAGGAAGGAGGGGAUAUCGUCGACGCAGGUCCUGGGCGGCGGAGGAGCACGUCUUGUGCGGUGACGGAGCAAGCAGGGCGGCGCGGGUCCUUGGCGUCGGAGGAGCAAGCAGGGCGGCGCGGGUCCUGGGUCACGGAGGAGCACGUCCUGUGCGGCAACGGAGCAAGCAGGGCGGCGCGGGUCCUGGGUCGCGGAGGAGCACGUCUAGUGCGGCGGCGGAGCAAGCAAUUGGGCAGCGCAGGUCUUGGGCUGACGACUGGCCCUGGCGACGCGCGCCGGCGACGGGCGGAGGAAGAAGGAAGAAGACGCGACCUGUAUGGUGA
rnacentral:rRNA from 1 species